rnacentral:rRNA from 1 species
GACGAACGCUGGCGGCGUGCUUAACACAUGCAAGUCGAACGGAAAGGCCCUGCUUUUGUGGGGUGCUCGAGUGGCGAACGGGUGAGUAACACGUGAGUAACCUGCCCUUGACUUUGGGAUAACUUCAGGAAACUGGGGCUAAUACCGGAUAGGAGCUCCUGCUGCAUGGUGGGGGUUGGAAAGUUUCGGCGGUUGGGGAUGGACUCGCGGCUUAUCAGCUUGUUGGUGGGGUAGUGGAUUACCAAGGCUUUGACGGGUAGCCGGCCUGAGAGGGUGACCGGCCACAUUGGGACUGAGAUGCGGCCCAGACUCCUACGGGAGGCAGCAGUGGGGAAUAUUGCACAAUGGGCGGAAGCCUGAUGCAGCAACGCCGCGUGCGGGGUGACGGCCUUCGGGUUGUAUACCGCUUUCGCCUGUGACGAAGCGUGAGUGACGGUAAUGGGUAAAGAAGCUCCGGCUAACUACGUG